rnacentral:rRNA from 1 species
AUCUGGUUGAUCCUGCCAGUAAUCAUAUGCUUGUCUCAAAGAUUAAGCCAUGCAUGUCUAAGUACAAGCCGCGUACGCGGCGAGACUGCGGACGGCUCAUUAAAUCGGUUAUGACUCCACUGGGGACAGACUAACCCGUGGAUAACGUGCGGUAACUCCGGUGCUAAUACAUGCAAAACGGCUCCGACCCCGCCUCGCGGCGGGGGAAGGGCGCACUUAUUAGGCGAAAACCAAUCGCUCGCUCGCGGGCGUUGGUGGACGACACCCGAGUAAUUGCCGCCGAUCGCACGGCCUCGAGCCGGCGACACCUUCACUGAGUUUCUGAUCUAUCAUGCUGACGACGGUUGGUGCUAUGCCAACCGUGGCGUUAACGGAUAACAGAGAAUCUGGGUUCGAUUCUGGAGAGGCCGCAUGAGAAACGGCGACCACUUCUAAGGAAGGCAGCAGGCA